CAGAGGUGCCUUUCCUUCCUCCCUUCCCUGCUGCACUUUGGCUUUUCGAGGGGUCUCUGGGGUCUGAGGGAGAAGUUCUUUGUCACUCCAGGGCAGAAUUAGCCCUGGUCCCACUAAAAGCAGGAGGAAUCAUUCAUUUUAUCCUAGAUUUUGGAUACACAUUUUGUCUUCUCUCUCUGUGUCUGACACCGUGUGGUGAAGCAGCAGCUCCCAGCCUUUUCAGUGCUGCUCCCAGCUUUGUUUGUAGCUGGUAAACAAGAAACAGUAAUAUGCUGCUCUGUGGUAAUUGGAUUAAGGACAAGGCCUCCCUCUUUGUUUAAUAUUCCUGAGAAAAGCUGCCAAGGAUUAAAGCAAGAGCUUCCCCUGGUGAAAUCCUGCCCAGUCCCACGCUGGCUUUGCACACACACAAGGCUCAAUCCCUGCUGGAAUCCCAGUCACAGCCCCCAGAUCAAUGUGCAGUUUAAGCUCUCACAGCCUGACCAGGACAAUCUCUUGCCUCUGAACAUGGAAAAUCAGUUUUUCAUUGUUACAGCACCAGCUCAAGGUAAUUAUGAAGUGGUGUAAUGGUUUUUAAGUUGUGCACAUGGAAGAAAUUCACUGCAGCAGCCAGCACUGCUCUGCCUUCCUGGGCAACCCUGUGGGUUUGGGAUCUUGAAUUGUGGGUGUGAAAUCUCCUCAGAGAAUCCUCUGAGGCUGAAACAAAGACAAGGAACCUUCUGAGAUGGAAAGAGCCAGAACAAGUUGUUGUGGGAAAGGAAAAUUAAAGAUGGUAAAGACCCUCUGGAUGACCCCCAGUGACCAGAACGACCAGACUAGUUCCAAGUGUUCUGUUUUUGGGAAUAGCACAGGAGCCAGAGUAGCAGCCAGUGCCUUCCUUAGUCCAUAAAUCCCCAGGAUGGACCACAGAGAAAAUAACAGGAAUGUGGAAAUCCCACACACAGGGAGUUUUUGGUGCUCUGGAUUACAUUUUGAAUUUAUAAUGUUAAAGAGGGGGUGUGGAAUGGCUUCUUUUUAUUGUCAUUGUUAUCACUGCUCUUGUUGCUAUCACUGUUAUCCACAGUUAUCACUGCUACCACUAUCAUCAAUAUUAAAAUAUUGUAUUUGUCUUGGUUUCCGUUAUUAAACUUUUCUGAUCUCA